rnacentral:rRNA from 2 species
UUGACCUCGGAUCAGGUAGGAAUACCCGCUGAACUUAAGCAAU